rnacentral:lncRNA from 1 species
ACAUAAGUGUGAGUGACUCCUUACUGCCGUCCAGGCAGCCUGGGGGCUACGAGGGGCUUCAGAGGUCCUCAUCCCCAGCCUGUAGGCCUGGCCAUACUGGACCCAUGAGAUCAGCCACCCUGUCAGCUGGUACCUCGGGGUCCUACAGUCCUCCUCGCUCAAGCCCUGGUCCUCUAACUCGGAGGUGAUGAGGUGUUGGGCUGGAAGAGACAGGCAGCCAGAUGAUUCCAAUGUACAGCCAAUGAUGAGCAGCUGCUGGGCUGAAGGGACUGGGGCCAUUUUAUACCAGGAUGUUACACAGAAAUGCCUGAAAAGCAAGGAGCAGCUAUCAGAAUGUUUGGUGACACAGCUCCUCCUGUCGUGGUUCCUUCGGCAUGGACUUCACAUUCAGCAGAUCCAUGAGGUGUUCCCUUUCGGAUGAGCUCCAAGGUCUUAAGAGAGCAUCUCUAGUCUGCGUGAGUCCGUCUGAACGACGGUCCUGAGCAAGAACCACCUAUAACCAUCUGCUCAAAAUAACUCAGGGGAAGUCAAAGCUUUCUAUGUGGAAGGUGACUGAAACCACAUACACAGACCACUGCAGCAUUCCUGACAUUAUGGAACUUGGAAAUGAUUCCAAACAUGGCCAUAGCUUGAGUAACAUGUUUUGCUAUGACAAGAACUUGGACUGUAGUCCUUCCCCCUCUCAAGAAUGUGACAUCACACCUUAUCAGAUCCUACGAGUGAGCUACUGACCUCAACCACUGAACUUCAAACUAUGUAAAAACCUAAGGGUUCGACAGACACUUUGAGAGCUUGGGCUGUGGCAAGCUACACUCUGUCAGCCUCUCUUCGACAGGGCCCCACCCUGCUAGCCUUUGAACUUGGAAGCAUCGCCCACAAACACCAGUGCCACCCUCUAGCCUUGAGGGACCAUAUAUGUCUCUGUGAAUCUCCGUUGCAUUGGACAGCUUCUCUCCCAAGAGCUGCUCUUAUAAAAGAGACACACCACAUUUUAAUGAGGCUUCGCUCUCCACAGAGGCCUGCUUCCAUCCUAAUUGAGCAAGUAGACUUUAGUAACUUUGGAACUCACUCACCCCGUGACUAAUACACCCUGUCUACCCAGCGCAUUCCCUGUGAGAUUUGUUCAUGUUGUUCUCCCCCUCCUUAAGCAUUGUGAACCUAGGAAAAAUAUCAUCUCUGUAGGGCAAUAAACCAUGUGAUUUGUGAAAUC